GAUGAACGCUGGCGGCGUGCCUAAUACAUGCAAGUCGAGCGAACAGACGAGGAGCUUGCUCCUCUGACGUUAGCGGCGGACGGGUGAGUAACACGUGGAUAACCUACCUAUAAGACUGGGAUAACUUCGGGAAACCGGAGCUAAUACCGGAUAAUAUAUUGAACCGCAUGGUUCAAUAGUGAAAGACGGUUUUGCUGUCACUUAUAGAUGGAUCCGCGCCGCAUUAGCUAGUUGGUAAGGUAACGGCUUACCAAGGCAACGAUGCGUAGCCGACCUGAGAGGGGGAUCGGCCACACUGGAACUGGGACACGGUCCAGACUCCUACGGGAGGCAGCAGUAGGGAAUCUUCCGCAAUGGGCGAAAGCCUGACGGAGCAACGCCGCGUGAGUGAUGAAGGUCUUCGGAUCGUAAAACUCUGUUAUGAGGGAAGAACAAAUGUGUAAGUAACUAUGCACGUCUUGACGGUACCUAAUCAGAAAGCCACGGCUAACUACGUG
rnacentral:rRNA from 1 species